UAUUGACUGAGCUGGGUAAUCAGAGGGUGGGUGGAGUGGACCAUUUGGGCAGCUUGCAACCUAACUCUUUCUUUUCUUUCUGCCCAGAUUCUCCGGGCUGCCAGCAGGUGGGAUUCAUGAUCAAACAGGAUAUAGCAACUUGCACCUGGAUUGCAAGUGACGUGUUUGUGCAGUCCAGACCUUCACCAGCUGGCAUGCCAAGCACA
rnacentral:lncRNA from 1 species